rnacentral:rRNA from 1 species
AAGCGGUGGAGCAUGUGGUUAAUUCGAAGCAACGCGAAGAACCUUACCAGGGCUUGACAUCCCUUGAAUCGGGAGGAAACUUCCGAGUCCUUCGGGACAAGGAGACAGGUGGUGCAUGGUUGUCGUCAGCUCGUGUCGUGAGAUGUUGGGUUAAGUCCCGCAACGAGCGCAACCCUUGCUGUUAGUUGCCAGCGCGUAGAGGCGGGCACUCUAAUGGGACUGCCGGCGACAAGUCGGAGGAAGGUGGGGACGACGUCAAAUCAUCAUGCCCCUUAUGUUCUGGGCUACACACGUACUACAAUGACUGCAACAGAGGGAAGCGAGACCGCAAGGUGGAGCCGAUCCCCAAAAACAGUCCCAGUUCGGAUUGCGGGCUGCAACUCGCCCGCAUGAAGUCGGAAUUGCUAGUAAUGGCAGGUCAGCAUACUGCCGUGAAUACGUUCCCGGGCCUU